rnacentral:rRNA from 1 species
GACGAACGCUGGCGGCGUGCUUAACACAUGCAAGUCAAGGGGGAUCCCGCCUUCGGGCGGGAGGACACUGGCGAACGGGUGAGUAACGCGUAGAUAACCUGCCUCACAGGCCGGGAUAUCCCCGGGAAACCGGGAUUAAUACCGGAACGGUCCCGCCUCGCAAGCUGCGGGAUGAAAGCGGCCCCGAGCAAUCGGGGUCGUGCUGAGAGAUGGAUCUGCGUCUGAUUAGCUUGUUGGUGGGGUAAUGGCCUACCAAGGCGACGAUCAGUAGCUGGUCUGAGAGGAUGAUCAGUCACACUGGGACUGAGAUACGGCCCAGACUCCUACGGGAGGCAGCAGUGGGGAAUUUUGCGCAAUGGGCGAAAGCCUGACGCAGCAACGCCGCGUGACCGAUGAAGCUCUGAGGAGUGUAAAGGUCUGUCCCAGGGGAAGAAAGAUUCCGAUACGAAUAAUAUCGGAAGUUGACGGUACCCUGGAAGAAAGCCCCGGCUAACUUCGUGCCAGCAGCCGCGGUAAUACGAGGGGGGCGAGCGUUGUCCGGAAUUAUUGGGUGUAAAGGGCUCGUAGGCGGAUCGAUCUGUCGGAACUUAAAUCCCACGGCUCAACCGUGGAGCUGGUUUCGAUACCGUCAGUCUUGAGUUCGGUAGAGGAAGGCGGAAUUCCUGGUGUAGCGGUGAAAUGCGUAGAUAUCAGGAGGAACACCGAAGGCGAAGGCAGCCUUCUGGGCCGAAACUGACGCUGAGGAGCGAAAGCGUGGGUAGCGAACAGGAUUAGAUACCCUGGUAGUCCAUGCCGUAAACGAUGAGUACUUGAUGGUGGGGGAUUCGACCCCGUCACCGUCGGAGCUAACGCGUUAAGUACUCCACCUGGGGACACGGCCGCAAGGCU